CAAAGUAGGUUAUGUAUAUGCUGAUAGGCGAUGCAAUUGUCACCUUAACACAAAACUUGUAAAUUAUAGAUUCAUACAACCUCAGCUGAGUGAAGUGGAGGAAACACAAUACUUGAAAAUUAUAGAUUAUAAUGAAAAUAUAUGUAAUGGCUUGUGCCAAAACUAAAUAACACAAUACUUGAAAAUUGUGAUUUACAAGAUAUAGGUUAUAUUGCCGAAAGGCAAAACAAAAUAUGUAAUGGCUUGUGCCAAAACUAAAUAACACAAUACUU
rnacentral:lncRNA from 1 species